GAUGAACGCUAGCUACAGGCUUAACACAUGCAAGUCGAGGGGCAUCAGGAAGAAAGCUUGCUUUCUUUGCUGACGAGUGGCGGACGGGUGAGUAAUGCUUGGGAAUCUGGCCUAUGGAGGGGGAUAACUACGGGAAACUGUAGCUAAUACCGCGUAGAAUCGGGAGAUGAAAGUGUGGGACCGUAAGGCCACAUGCCAUGGGAUGAGCCCAAGUGGGAUUAGGUAGUUGGUAAGGUAAAGGCUUACCAAGCCGACGAUCUCUAGCUGGUCUGAGAGGAUGACCAGCCACACUGGAACUGAGACACGGUCCAGACUCCUACGGGAGGCAGCAGUGGGGAAUAUUGCACAAUGGGGGAACCUGAUGCAGCCAUGCCGCGUGAAUGAAGAAGGCCUUCGGGUUGUAAAGUUCUUUCGGUGAUGAGG
rnacentral:rRNA from 1 species